ensembl:misc_RNA Metazoa_SRP Metazoan signal recognition particle RNA
GCCAGGCGUGGUGGCGCAUGCCUGUAAUCUCAGUUACUCGGGAGGCUGAGGCAGGAGGAUUGCUUGAGCCCAGGACUUUGAGGCUGCAGUGAGCCAAGAUUGCACCACUGCACUCCAGCCUGGGCAACAUAGUGAGAUCCUGUCUCUA